rnacentral:rRNA from 1 species
AGCGAACGCUGGCGGCAGGCUUAACACAUGCAAGUCGAGCGGGCCCUUCGGGGUCAGCGGCAGACGGGUGAGUAACGCGUGGGAACGUGCCCUUCGGUUCGGAAUAACUCAGGGAAACUUGAGCUAAUACCGGAUGCGCCCUUAUGGGGAAAGGCUUGCUGCCGAAGGAUCGGCCCGCGUCUGAUUAGCUAGUUGGUGAGGUUAUGGCUCACCAAGGCGACGAUCAGUAGCUGGUCUGAGAGGAUGAUCAGCCACACUGGGACUGAGACACGGCCCAGACUCCUAAGGGAGGCAGCAGUGGGGAAUAUUGGACAAUGGGGGCAACCCUGAUCCAGCCAGGCCGCGUGAGUGAUGACGGCCUUAGGGUUGUAAAGCUCUUUUCUCCGGGACGAUAUGACGGUACCGGAGGAAUAAGCCCCGGCUAACUUCGUG